rnacentral:rRNA from 2 species
AUUGAACGCUGGCGGCAGGCCUAACACAUGCAAGUCGAGCGGUAGCACAGAGAGCUUGCUCUCGGGUGACGAGCGGCGGACGGGUGAGUAAUGUCUGGGAAACUGCCUGAUGGAGGGGGAUAACUACUGGAAACGGUAGCUAAUACCGCAUAACGUCGCAAGACCAAAGUGGGGGACCUUCGGGCCUCAUGCCAUCAGAUGUGCCCAGAUGGGAUUAGCUAGUAGGUGGGGUAACGGCUCACCUAGGCGACGAUCCCUAGCUGGUCUGAGAGGAUGACCAGCCACACUGGAACUGAGACACGGUCCAGACUCCUACGGGAGGCAGCAGUGGGGAAUAUUGCACAAUGGGCGCAAGCCUGAUGCAGCCAUGCCGCGUGUGUGAAGAAGGCCUUCGGGUUGUAAAGCACUUUCAGCGGGGAGGAAGGCGGUGAGGUUAAUAACCUCACCGAUUGACGUUACCCGCAGAAGAAGCACCGGCUAACUCCGUGCCAGCAGCCGCGGUAAUACGGAGGGUGCAAGCGUUAAUCGGAAUUACUGGGCGUAAAGCGCACGCAGGCGGUCUGUCAAGUCGGAUGUGAAAUCCCCGGGCUCAACCUGGGAACUGCAUUCGAAACUGGCAGGCUAGAGUCUUGUAGAGGGGGGUAGAAUUCCAGGUGUAGCGGUGAAAUGCGUAGAGAUCUGGAGGAAUACCGGUGGCGAAGGCGGCCCCCUGGACAAAGACUGACGCUCAGGUGCGAAAGCGUGGGGAGCAAACAGGAUUAGAUACCCUGGUAGUCCACGCUGUAAACGAUGUCGAUUUGGAGGUUGUGCCCUUGAGGCGUGGCUUCCGGAGCUAACGCGUUAAAUCGACCGCCUGGGGAGUACGGCCGCAAGGUUAAAACUCAAAUGAAUUGACGGGGGCCCGCACAAGCGGUGGAGCAUGUGGUUUAAUUCGAUGCAACGCGAAGAACCUUACCUGGUCUUGACAUCCACAGAACUUUCCAGAGAUGGAUUGGUGCCUUCGGGAACUGUGAGACAGGUGCUGCAUGGCUGUCGUCAGCUCGUGUUGUGAAAUGUUGGGUUAAGUCCCGCAACGAGCGCAACCCUUAUCCUUUGUUGCCAGCGGUUAGGCCGGGAACUCAAAGGAGACUGCCAGUGAUAAACUGGAGGAAGGUGGGGAUGACGUCAAGUCAUCAUGGCCCUUACGACCAGGGCUACACACGUGCUACAAUGGCAUAUACAAAGAGAAGCGACCUCGCGAGAGCAAGCGGACCUCAUAAAGUAUGUCGUAGUCCGGAUUGGAGUCUGCAACUCGACUCCAUGAAGUCGGAAUCGCUAGUAAUCGUAGAUCAGAAUGCUACGGUGAAUACGUUCCCGGGCCUUGUACACACCGCCCGUCACACCAUGGGAGUGGGUUGCAAAAGAAGUAGGUAGCUUAACCUUCGGGAGGGCGCUUACCACUUUGUGAUUCAUGACUGGGGUG